rnacentral:lncRNA from 1 species
GUUGUCAUGUUAACUACUAAUUAAGCGUCACAUUACAGAGCUGAAAUGUAUUAAUGCUAAAUUCAAUUAGGGAAUAUCGUUAUGCUACGGAGUUCGCUAUUUUAGCUUUACAGCUAACUGAAAGGGUUAAGUUGAGUAGUGAUCUAUAUUAAAAUACAUCCACGGUAGUAAUUUGCUAUAUUGCAAACUUACAACAGCACUGACCCGUCUGUAAUAUGUCUGUAAUAUGCUGAUCAACAUGAUGAACAUCAGCAUCUAUUACAGACCGGUCAGUGCUGUCCUAGAAAAACAAUAUAUUGCUAAAGCCUAUUUUUAGCGAUCGUUCUCCUCAGGUCACAUCAUAUAUUGAUUUCUUUUAUUUUUUAGUCUACGUGUGUGUGCGUGCGUCUGUAUGUUUGACAACUGGCAAAUUAUUCAAUCAAUAGAGGUGGUAGUGACUGCAUAUUAAUGAUGAAUUGAAUUCACCUCAGUUUAGUAGAUCUCUUUUGUCCAAACAACUGCCCUUAAUUGUGCUAACAAUCAUGCAGUUCACAUGUUGAAUAGCACAUAAGCAAGUUCUUUACAUUUUAUUACAGUUCUGUAUUUAUGACCACGUUGUUUUCUGCUUUGUCCAACAGCUUGUCAUUUCCCACCACAUCCCUUUUACCCACACCAACUCCUCUACUGUACACCCCUUCAUUAAAACCAACGGCUCUUUUAAGAGCCACUUCAACACUGUCCUCUUGCUACUGCUCUCCCCCUCUCUCUCUCUCCCUCUCUCUCUCUCUCUCUCUCCCUCUCUCUCUGUCUCACACACACACACACACACACACUUAAUUUCUGGAAUCCCUGUUGUCUUGAAGUAAGUAUUGUUAUUCUAUUUUUUUAUUUAAUCUUUCUUUGACCUCACUCUCUCUCUCACUGUCCAAAACACUCUGCCAUGUCCUUUUGUUUUUCCUGAGCUUGAACGUGUUUAUAGCCUCUUUACACCCCUUUGUCAUUCUUUCUUUUUGUCUGACUAUGCCUUCAUUCCUUCCUUACCAAUAUAGUGCUGAAAUGGCUGCUCAGCAGGACACAGGGAAAGCAGAGGAUGCUCUUUUCUUUGCAGACAUGCUUCUGGCGCAAGUCAAAGCUAAUGAACCAAAGAUUCCACCAUCCACCCACAAGAAGCCAACAUCAGCCAAAGGCAAAUUUCAUGUCCGGUGGACCGAGAGAGAUGUUGAAGGACGUCCAAUGAUAAAAAGAAGCAGAAGUGGAGAGACACGAAGACGUGUUUCAGCUACAGUGGUUGCCAGUGACCGCUCUACUCCUUUUGAGUCAGCUGAGGAGGUUCUCCCAGUGACCCAAUCUAACAGCUCUCAACACUUAUUUGACUGUGAGAUGCAGAAACUGCAGGACAUUCUGACCUCAGCAGAUGUUCCAGGUAGAAAUGAGCAGCCUUCUACGUCCACAUCGUGGUGCUUGCGCCAAUCUGCAGCCCAAGAUGAGUGGCGGAAAGCAAGGCGCCAUCACCCCAACUGUUUGCUGUCCUGCAACAGUGUUCCAGAGAGGAACUGCAGCCACUGCACAUCUCCUGCCAUUAUUCGCUGCAGAGACUGCAUGCCGGAGGAGUGGCUCUGUAUGGAUUGUGACAUACAUAUACACACCAAACUCACACUACCAUAA